CAGUCGAGGGAGAACCAUUCGAUCCGUAAGGACCGGAUGGGGAAACCGGCGAACGGGUGCGUAACACGUGAGGAACCUGCCCCGAAGACCGGGAUAGCCCGAGGAAACUCGGAUUAAUACCGGAUACCCUCUUUGGACCACAUGGUCUGCUGAGGAAAUGGUCCGCCGCUUCGGGAUGGCCCCGCGGCCUAUCAGCUUGUUGGUGAGGUAACGGCUCACCAAGGCAAAGACGGGUAGCUGGUCUGAGAGGACGAUCAGCCACACUGGGACUGAGACACGGCCCAGACUCCUACGGGAGGCAGCAGCAGGGAAUAUUGCACAAUGGGCGAAAGCCUGAUGCAGCGACACCGCGUGCGGGAUGAAGGCCCUCGGGUUGUAAACCGCUUUCAGGAGGGACGAAAAUGACGGUACCUCCAGAAGAAGGCCCGGCCAACUACGUGCCAGCAGCCGCGGUAAUACGUAGGGGCCAAACGUUGUCCGGAUUUAUUGGGCGUAAAGGGCUCGUAGGCGGUUCAACAAGUCGAUCGUGAAAGCCCGGGGCACCCCGGGACGCCGGUCGAAACUGUUGUGACUAGGGUCCGGUAGAGGUGAGUGGAAUUCUCGGUGUAGCGGUGG
rnacentral:rRNA from 1 species